GACGAACCGUCCAAACGUUAUUCGGAAUUACUGGGCUUAAAGGGUGCGUAGGCGGCGCGGAAAGUUGGGUGUGAAAUCCCUCGGCUCAACCGAGGAACUGCGCUCAAUACUACCGUGCUCGAGGGAGAUAGAGGUGAGCGGAACUUAGGGUGGAGCGGUGAAAUGCGUUGAUAUCCUAAGGAACACCGGUGGCGAAAGCGGCUCACUGGAUCUCUUCUGACGCUGAGGCACGAAAGCUAGGGUAGCGGACGGG
rnacentral:rRNA from 1 species